GGUUGAUCCUGCCAGUAGUCAUAUGCUUGUCUCAAAGAUUAAGCCAUGCAUGUCUAAGUAUAAACAAUUCUAUACUGUGAAACUGCGAAUGGCUCAUUAAAUCAGUUAUAGUUUAUUUGAUAAUUUCUUUCUACAUGGAUAACCGUGGAAAAUCUAGAGCUAAUACAUGCAUAAAAACCCGACUUCGGAAGGGUUGUAUUUAUUAGAUAAAAACCAAUGUGGGCAACCACUCUUUUGGUGAUUCAUAAUAACUUCUCGAAUCGCAUAGCCUUGUGCUGGCGAUGUUUCAUUCA
rnacentral:rRNA from 1 species